GUGAGGAAUAUUGCGCAAUGGGGGAAACCCUGACGCAGCAAUACCGCGUGAGUGAAGAAGGUUUUCGGAUCGUAAAGCUCUUUCGUUAGGGACGAACGUGCUCUUUGUGAAUAAUGAGGAGUAAUGACGGUACCUAAAUAAGAAGCCACGGCUAACUACGUGCCAGCAGCCGCGGUAAUACGUAGGUGGCAAGCGUUGUCCGGAAUUAUUGGGCGUAAAGCGCGCGCAGGCGGGAUAUCAAGUCUGUCUUAAAAGUGCGAGGCUCAACCUCGUGAGGGGACAGAAACUGGUAUUCUUGAGUGUCGGAGAGGAAAGUGGAAUUCCAAGUGUAGCGGUGAAAUGCGUAGAGAUUUGGAAGAACACCAGUGGCGAAGGCGACUUUCUGGACGAUGUCUGACGCUGAGGCGCGAAAGCUAGGGGAGCGAACGGGAUUAGAAACCCGAGUAGUCC
rnacentral:rRNA from 1 species